GCCCUGGCAGUCAGAGGCGAUGAAGGACGUGCUAAUCUGCGAUAAGCGUCGGUAAGGUGAUAUGAACCGUUAUAACCGGCGAUUUCCGAAUGGGGAAACCCAGUGUGAUUCGUCACACUAUCAUUAACUGAAUCCAUAGGUUAAUGAGGCGAACCGGGGGAACUGAAACAUCUAAGUACCCCGAGGAAAAGAAAUCAACCGAGAUUCCCCCAGUAGCGGCGAGCGAACGGGGAGGAGCCCAGAGCCUGAAUCAGUGUGUGUGUUAGUGGAAGCGUCUGGAAAGGCGCGCGAUACAGGGUGACAGCCCCGUACACAAAAAUGCACAUGCUGUGAGCUCGAUGAGUAGGGCGGGACACGUGGUAUCCUGUCUGAAUAUGGGGGGACCAUCCUCCAAGGCUAAAUACUCCUGACUGACCGAUAGUGAACCAGUACCGUGAGGGAAAGGCGAAAAGAACCCCGGCGAGGGGAGUGAAAAAGAACCUGAAACCGUGUACGUACAAGCAGUGGGAGCACAGAGCAAUCUGUGUGACUGCGUACCUUUUGUAUAAUGGGUCAGCGACUUAUAUUCUGUAGCAAGGUUAACCGAAUAGGGGAGCCGAAGGGAAACCGAGUCUUAACUGGGCGUUAAGUUGCAGGGUAUAGACCCGAAACCCGGUGAUCUAGCCAUGGGCAGGUUGAAGGUUGGGUAACACUAACUGGAGGACCGAACCGACUAAUGUUGAAAAAUUAGCGGAUGACUUGUGGCUGGGGGUGAAAGGCCAAUCAAACCGGGAGAUAGCUGGUUCUCCCCGAAAGCUAUUUAGGUAGCGCCUCGUGAAUUCAUCUCCGGGGGUAGAGCACUGUUUCGGCAAGGGGGUCAUCCCGACUUACCAACCCGAUGCAAACUGCGAAUACCGGAGAAUGUUAUCACGGGAGACACACGGCGGGUGCUAACGUCCGUCGUGAAGAGGGAAACAACCCAGACCGCCAGCUAAGGUCCCAAAGUCAUGGUUAAGUGGGAAACGAUGUGGGAAGGCCCAGACAGCCAGGAUGUUGGCUUAGAAGCAGCCAUCAUUUAAAGAAAGCGUAAUAGCUCACUGGUCGAGUCGGCCUGCGCGGAAGAUGUAACGGGGCUAAACCAUGCACCGAAGCUGCGGCAGCGACACUAUGUGUUGUUGGGUAGGGGAGCGUUCUGUAAGCCUG
rnacentral:rRNA from 1 species